rnacentral:lncRNA from 10 species
GAAGGCCCCCAGGAAUCCUGGAGGAGCUGUUGCCUGAAUGUGUAUGAAGAAAGAAACCUGUGUGGCACAAAGGGUUGCCUCUAGGGCUUUAGAUUGAGAUGUUAUCAUGGACUGAACUGUGUCCCUGCAAAAUUCAUACGUUGAAGCCCCAGCUCCCAGUGUGGCUGUAGUUGGAGAUAAGACUUUUUUAAGGAGGUAAUCAAGCUUAAAUGAAGUCAUAAAGGUGGAGCUCUAAUCCAACAGGGUCGAUGCCCUCAUAAGAAGAGGAAGAGACAUCAAGAGUGCACAUGCACAGAGAAAAGGCCAUGUGAAGUCACAAGAAGAUGGCUGUCUGCAGGCAAAGGGGAGAGGCCUCACCAGAGACUAAUCCUGCCAGCACCAUAAUCUUCAACUUCCAGUCUCCAGAACUUUAAGAAAAUAAAUUUAUGUUGUUUGAGCCCAUCAAUCUUGUACUUUGUUGUAGUAGCCUGAGCAGAGGAAUUCAUCUGGAUUGACUUCUUGUUGGUCUGGUGUUUAUUGUAUUCUGCCUGAAAUGGGUUGCAGACUUACCAAAUGUGACAGAUCUUGUACCAUGUACAUGUACACAGCUAAGUGUUCUUGAGAGGGCACUUUCUAAAAGACUUUAUACUCAGCUUAUUAGAGAGGAU